UGGGGAAUUUUGGACAAUGGGCGCAAGCCUGAUCCAGCCAUGCCGCGUGAGUGAAGAAGGCCUUCGGGUUGUAAAGCUCUUUCGGCGGGGAAGAAAUUGCUCAGGAUAAUACCUUGAGUAGAUGACGGUACCCGCAUAAGAAGCACCGGCUAACUACGUGCCAGCAGCCGCGGUAAUACGUAGGGUGCGAGCGUUAAUCGGAAUUACUGGGCGUAAAGCGUGCGCAGGCGGUUUUGUAAGUCAGAUGUGAAAUCCCCGGGCUCAACCUGGGAACUGCAUUUGAGACUGCAAGGCUAGAGUGUAGCAGAGGGGGGUAGAAUUCCACGUGUAGCAGUGAAAUGCGUAGAGAUGUGGAGGAAUACCGAUGGCGAAGGCAGCCCCCUGGGUUACUACUGACGCUCAUGCACGAAAGCGUGGGGAGCAAACA
rnacentral:rRNA from 1 species